UAACAAAGGUACAUGAUUUCUGAAGGGUUC
rnacentral:piRNA from 1 species